rnacentral:lncRNA from 1 species
ACUCUUCUGCGGGAAGGGCUUGGCGUAGACCGCGCACUGGAAGGCGUGCGCGCAGGUGUGCGUGACCAUGUGCUUGAAACGGCAGUAGCGCAGCGAGAAGGAUCGCCAUCACACGGCGCACUGGUGCGGCUUCUCCCCCGAGUGGAUGAACAUGUGCUUGGUGUCGUUUUUCCUUGAGCUGAACGUCUUGCAACAGUGGCCGCACGCAUAGCUGCCCCAGAUCCCGGAAGAAAAUCUCUCCCACACCACUGUAGUCAGAGAGGCCAGUGGGUGCAUGGAACUCCUCGCACGCGCUGUCAGCAGCAGCAGUGAGGAAGCCGGCAGCACAGUCUGGGAAGGAAGGAGGUGCUUGGCUCUCUCCCGGGCCGCCACCUUCGCCGUCCUCGCCAUCGGUCUCAUCGUCAGUUUCCUCGUCAUCGUUGUCACCUCGGUCGUCAGGGGCCGCGGACAGUGAGGGGUAGGCACCAAGCCCCUCGGCUUUGGCAGGUGUCGGGGGCGCAGGCAGCUGCAAACUCGCGGGCCGGCGCUGCUUACCGCUGUGCGCGGCACCGGGGUGCCCCGGGGGUGCGCAGCCAGCAGGUGGCGCAGGCGGUGACGCAGCUGCUCAGGUGCGAGUGGCGGGGGCACAGGGGUGGGCAGGGGCGCGGGUGCAGAGGUGCUCGCGGGUGCAGAGGAGCGCGUGCGAUAAUCUGCGUGCAUUCGUCGAUAACUGUCUAUGCGAAGCACCGACGCAGCCAUGAGUACCUGCGGGGCUUCACUCUGUGCCACAACGAGCGAACCGCUGUACAGGAGCUCGACUAGCUGUCGCACCGUCUGCACAGGCACCACCGAAGGCACACGGAUCUCAGAGGGGCCGAGCAGCAGCUUGUCUUGGAAGGAGGGCGAGCCGAUUGCCAGCCCGCAGCGGUGCGCACGCAGCGAAGCUUCAUGAAUGCACACAGUCACGUCGCAGAAGUGCCCACCCAGCUUCUGCCCAUUGAGGGUCUCAAGCAGAGAGCGUGAGAAGUUCUGCAGAUGUAUGUGGCGCACAGCCUCUACAGCCGCCGACUCCGACUCCUCUUCAGGCACCAGGCCUGGCCGUGGCCGCCUUCUCACCGACUCCAAGGCAGCACUUCCGGGCGCUUCUCUUUAUUUUUAUACAGUUUUAUUGAGAUAUAAUUUACAUGCUAUCCAGCCCAUCUAUUUCAAGUGUACCAUGCAAGGGGUUUGUAUAUAUUCACAGAGUUGUGUAUCCAUCACCAUCGUUUUAGAACAUUCAUCACUCCAGAAGAAACUACGUACCCAUCAGCAGCCACUGCCCAUUUCCCUGAUCUGCCCCGCCCUAGGAAAUCCGUAAUCACUUUCAGUCUAUGGAUUUGCCUAUUCUAGACCAUUCAUAUAAAUGAAGUCACACAACACUGGGUCUUAUGUGACUGGCUUCUAUCAAAGUUUGCAAGGUUCAUUUAUGUUCAUGGGCUGACCCCACAUUGGACACCGCUGCAUCCAUGUCCAUCACACAACACAGCUGCCGUUUCUUCUGCCUGCUUAUGGGAAAGUCCCCUCUUCUCCUCCGUUUUCUUCUCUUCCUGCCCUAUCACACCGUGCACUUCUCCCUUUCCUUAAAGAACCACCAUCAACUUUAGGAGGAGGGAAAGGGGUGGCUCUGGCAGGAAAAGCCAGAAUCCCCUCUAGCCAGCAGAGAGAGAGAGGAAUGGCUGCAUGUUUUCUCCCCCAGUCCAAGGCACUGGGUCUUGGCUGGGUUGAAGGUUCCAAGCUGCUCUCCUGCUGUGUCGGUGAGUUCUGGUCAACCUGCAACCUCCUGAUAUGGCCAUUGCAGUUCAUCGAGUCUUCAGGGACUCCCCAUGGCCUGGAGUACUUUGCCUUGCUUACACGGGAGAGGAGAAUGGAUUUAUAGAGAACAUCAUCUAAAUCCAACUUGACCAUUGUGUGGCCACACUUGCUAGAUUGCUAUAGUCUAAAUCUAGCAUUGUAGAAAGACGGGGGAGCUUGGAGCUGCACAAACCCAGGUCUGGAACUGGCUCCUUACCUUGGAAGGUGAAUGAUCCUGCCAGGACUCUUAGCCUCCCUGGGUCUCAAUUUCUUUAUCUGUUUCAUGGGAAUGAGGAUCUCUGCUGGGUGGUUGGGUGAUGUGGGGGCUGUGUGAAAACAGCUUGUCAAUACAAGCCAAAAUAGAAAUAUUUCUCCACAGAGUAUGAAGGUCAAAUGAGAGAAUACAUUUAAAUUAAAUGGAAAAUUAAAAUGGUAAAAAAUGCAAAGCUGUAUUGAAAGUUCCGAGCUUCUCUAUAAGGAGCUUUUUGACUAUGGAAGAAUCCUGUACUCGUUCCCCCUAAAUAU